rnacentral:rRNA from 1 species
AACGCGAAGAACCUUACCUGCCCUUGACAUGCUAGGAAGUCUGCAGAGAUGCGGAUGUGCCUUCGGGAACCUAGACACAGGUGCUGCAUGGCUGUCGUCAGCUCGUGUCGUGAGAUGUUGGGUUAAGUCCCGUAACGAGCGCAACCCUUAUCCUUAGUUACCAGCACGUUAUGGUGGGAACUCUAAGGAGACUGCCGGUGACAAACCGGAGGAAGGUGGGGAUGACGUCAAGUCCUCAUGGCCCUUAUGGGCAGGGCUACACACGUGUUACAAUGGCCGGUACAGAGGGUUGCCAACCCGCGAGGGGGAGCUAAUCCCGUAAAACCGGUCUCAGUCCGGAUUGAGGUCUGCAACUCGACCCCAUGAAGUUGGAAUCGCUAGUAAUCGCGGAUCAGAACGCCGCGGUGAAUACGUUCCCGGGCCUUGUACACACCGCGAGC